UGAGUUGCGAACGGGUGAGUAACGCGUGGGUAACCUGCCUUGUAGCGGGGGAUAACUAUUGGAAACGAUAGCUAAUACCGCAUAACAAUGGAUGACACAUGUCAUUUAUUUGAAAGGGGCAAUUGCUCCACUACAAGAUGGACCUGCGUUGUAUUAGCUAGUAGGUGAGGGAAUGGCUCACCUAGGGGACCAUACCUAGCCGACCUGAGAGGGGGAUCGGCCACCCUGGGACUGAGACACGGCCCAAACUCCUACGGGAGGGAGCAGUAGGGAAUCUUCGGCAAUGGGGGCAACCCUGACCGAGCAACCCCCCGUGAGUGAAGAAGGUUUUCGGAUCGUAAAGCUCUGUUGUAAGUCAAGAACGGGUGUGAGAGUGGAAAGUUCACACUGUGACGGUAGCUUACCAGAAAGGGACGGCUAACUACGUGCCAGCAGCCGCGGUAAUACGUAGGUCCCGAGCGUUGUCCGGAUUUAUUGGGCGUAAAGCGAGCGCAGGCGGUUUGAUAAGUCUGAAGUUAAAGGCUGUGGCUCAACCAUAGUU
rnacentral:rRNA from 1 species